rnacentral:rRNA from 1 species
AUUGAACGCUGGCGGAAUGCUUUACACAUGCAAGUCGAGCGGCAGCGCGGGGCAACCUGGCGGCGAGCGGCGAACGGGUGAGUAACAUAUCGGAACGUACCCUGUCGUGGGGGAUAACACAGCGAAAGUUGUGCUAAUACCGCAUACGACCUGAGGGUGAAAGCGGGGGAUCGCAAGACCUCGCGCGAUAGGAGCGGCCGAUAUCGGAUUAGCUAGUUGGUGAGGUAAAGGCUCACCAAGGCGACGAUCCGUAGCGGGUCUGAGAGGACGACCCGCCACACGGGAACUGCGACACGGGCCAGACUCCUACGGGAGGCAGCAGUGGGGAAUUUUGGACAAUGGGGGCAACCCUGAUCCAGCCAUUCCGGGUGAGUGAAGAAGGCCUUCGGGUUGUAAAGCUCUUUCGGCAGGAACGAAACGGUCGUCUCUAACAUAGAUGGCUAAUGACGGUACCUGAAGAAGAAGCACCGGCUAACUACGUGCCAGCCGCCGCGGUAA